CGUAAUGUUUGGAAAAAAGCGGCAUGUUGGAAAGGUAAAGAGUGGAGUGCUCGGGAGAUGAAAGGAUGGAGAGAUUAUGUUGCUUCUGAUGCUUAGACACACUGGAAAUCAUGAACAGCUAUCAUAUCUUAAAACAGUGUUUAAAAUGUUUAAAAGUUACCGAACCAAACAGACGCUUUACAGACGCUAGCUAAUAUUUGCGUGAAAGUUAAAUUCAUCUGCAGUCACCUGGCAACAAAAACACCCACAACAACUUUUAACCUGCGGGAUCAUUUCCCUGUCUAUCAACAAUCUGUAAAAUAACAGAGUCCUGUUUCACUUUAAUCAGAUGUCGUUCUGCCUGGCGGAGCUUCACUUUUGGUCCUUCAGGAGCAGCCUGCAAGUCCAAGAUAAAGAUAUUGGCACACACCAAUGCUAUGACAAAGGAGAAUCAUUGUGUCCUUCAGAUCAGCAUUACUACAAUGAGAAACAGCAGUUCGCAGACAGUCGGGGUUACCCAUGGUUCCUUAGUAACCGUCGUCCAGAGAAGCUGCGUGAUGCCCUAAAGGAACUAGAGGAGCUGCUGCAGUCAAGCCAGCUCGUGAGUGUCAGAUGGAGAGCUAAGCAGUGCUGUCAGAUGCUGCUGAGAUCAGGUGUACUGGUGACUCUUAUUCUGGGCGGAGCUCAGGUUGAACGGGUGGUCAUUGACAGAACGCUAGUAGGGCGACUUCCUGCUGACACCAUCAGUGAUGCGGUGAUUGGAGAUCGCUUCCUGCUGUUCUCAUUGAUGGAGAGAAGUCAGGUGUGUCAGGUUUACCUGAACAGGAAGAACCAGAGCUCACCUGAGCUAACACGGCACAUGGAGAAACUCACAGCUGCUGAGAUUAAGGUAACACACGUGUCAGUAGUGGACGUACCAGGUGGAGGUCGCCGCGUGGAGCGCCGGAUGGGGCUGAACCAAGCUCAGGAUAUGGCCGUGUGCUGGUGGCCGCUCUGUAAUGAGGAGGUUAGACCUUGGUCUCCUAUUCCUAGUGCGGUGGAAAGAGCCAAUCUGGUACUGCUUGCCUGCUCAGAUACUCCAGGGGUUACGGUUCUGAGCUCUAUCCGAACUGAUGGAAACCCAAUUGACUGCAGAUUUAGCCUAACUCAACCCUACCAUGUCCUCACAGUGGAGCUGCACCAGGAGGCCAGUCACUCCAUGUCUGAGCUGCACGAGAAGCCCCAGCCUCUUGAUGUUCAUACCCGUAUCUACGAAUGUGCCCGAGGGCGUUUUCAAAAUGUAUCCAGCACUCCUAUACCCCUCACAUCCAAACCUAUAACCUGUAAUUAUGACCCAAUGGAGCGCUGGGUUCUCCUAGGGCUUCAGGACUGCUCUGUGGUUCUUUUUGACAGACAGACAGGCCUCUCCAUGUGGGCCACCUGUUCCAUGAUGCCUUCUUUGCUAGCAUGGCACCCUUCAGGAGCUUUACUGAUGGUGGGCGGAGGUCAGGGGGAGCUUCAGUGCUUCGACGUGGGGCUGUCACCUCUUUCUUUACGGCUAGUGAGUGAGGAACCGGCCCCUGGUUCUCUAAGCCCCAGCCUUCAGCUGUCCAGUCAUAUGAAGACCUCUAGUGGUCUGGAGGGCAUCCAGUGGGCCUGCUGUCCAAUAUCUCAGGGAAACGAUGGUCUGGAAACACACGACUCGCUGCUGCUUUGGUUUCAUGGAGGGCCGCUCGCUACUCUGAGACUAAGACUCGGUGUGUUUAAUGGAGCUCAGUUAGGCCCAGCUGAUCUGGUACAGCACCGUUUGAGUUGUGGAGAGGUGGAUGCAGCACUGGGAAUUCUGGGAAAUAUGGACUGGGCAAUAAUGGGAGCUGAGUGUUACCGUUCACUUAUCUCUAUCAACAAUCACCUGCUGAGGAUGCCACUGGACCACCAGACUGAGGGUCAGUUAGAAGCAGCUCUGGGAAUGUUUUAUGCCCCAUCCAUACCCCUGUCAAACACUGUUAUACUGGAAUACAGAGACCCCAUCAGCAGAUAUGCCAGGCGAUUCUUCCAUCAUCUCCUCAGACAUCAGCGGUUCGAAAAAGCCUUCCUGUUGGCAGUAGAUAUUGGGGCCAGAGAUCUGUUUAUGGACCUCCAUUACGUGGCAACAGAUAAGGGAGAGCUUGUGUUAGCUGCUGUAGCCAAGAAGAAGGCUAAUGAAAUAGACGCGGAGGCACAAACAUCAGCACCAGAUGAAGGUCUGUCAACAUAUGAAAGCCGUAGUGGAGUUAAACUACCACCAGCCAGGAGCGAAAAAGAUGCAUCUGCCCCGAAACACUCAAGUAGGAAUAGAGAAAUGUCAACCUCAGAGACUCAAGAUGACCUUUCGAACAUCCUAACAAGUCAUCACACCUGGCCUUGGAGAAACACAGGUGUGUAUGUGUCAUGCAUAGUGUUACAUUUAGCGAAUUAUAAUCCACUUAACUCACUUUACUUUAUUGUCCUCAAUAUUUUGAAUCAGGGUGUACAGCAUGUUUUACAGUAAUUUCCUGCGAAUUAUUCUGAAUAUAAUUUAUAGUGAAUGUGUGUUUUGCAUAGACUCCAAAUGCUAUAGAUAAUUCCUUUAUUAACACCCUGAGAGUAAUAUCUGUCCCUCUGUUUUGCCCUUUUAAAAAUAGGUUCAACUUGACUGCCUUUUUUCUGCUUGUAUUGUACUUAGCUAAUCAUCCUAAAACACAAAUGUUUUAGUCUUUUCUGGCCGCAGAAUAAUUAAACUUUUUCCCAUACAUAUUUAUUGGACAGUGCAGACUGUAGGCUAUUACAGGCAUUUACAUCAGAAUUUUAAUACAUGCAUAAUCCUGAAUGCUAAUAGCACCAUCAUAAUGUAGCAUGCAGAUACCCUCCUCCAGUAAAGCUGCAGAGGAUGCGGGGUUUUGAUACUUGAACACUUCCACCCACCCAAAUACACACACACACACACACACACACACACACACACACACACACACACACACACACACACACACACACACGUUAAAUAUUGAGCUAGUGGUACUUGAGGUUUGAUCACCUGAUUCAGGUGUGGUGCAGUGGAUCACAGAGCUAGACUUAAAGAUAUGUUAAAGUCUCAGAAAUAUUUCUCAUUUGUGAUGUUGUGUGCGUUCGUUUCUUUAUUAUUAUUAUUUAUCUUUAUAGAAUUCAGUCUUGUUAACCAGGAUACUCAGGCCUCUGAGGGGAGUGGGAAACUCAAAGUUAUUCAUUUUGGUUUAGUUUGAAUAUUUUUAAAGAAUAAAUAAUUAUACAUUUUUAAAUAUUACAAUAUAUAUUCUACCUCUAAAAAUAUGUCAUUGAAUGUGUUAAUGUACUUUUAAAUACAAAUAUUUUUGCUAUUUCUUUUUUCCUGUCAACCUUUUAUCUUGUUACAUUGCUUGUAAAUAAAUUCUGUCACGUUAUUUUGGAAAAAAGGUUGUGAAGUCCUGUUUGUGGAUUUGAGAUUGAAAAGUGUUUAAACCUGCUUUUCCACAGUUAUUCAUCUUUCUAUUAUAAAUAGUUUCCUAUCCUUUGUGGCUCAAGUGUCAGUCACUAUCACACUAUCAGGUUGGAUAUCUCAGGGUGUGUGAUUCAGGUCUGUUUACAAGUGUUUAUAAAAUGGCUUUUUUUGUAAAAACCCAACGCCUAACUUUCAUAGAAGUAGACUAGCAUAGUGGUCCUUGAUCACAGGAUCAACGGCUUGUAUUGGGUUGUUGGCUUGGCUGGUUAUAUUCUCCACCUAUUGGUGUAUGAGAUUACAUGCAGAAAAAAUGCAGAGGGGAUACACAGCGUGCCUUUAAAGAGAAAGCUGAUGUUUCCCCCACAGUCUUCAUGCACAGCGGCCGUGUCAGAACUGUCGCCGGCCUGCUCGCCGAACUUAAUCUGACAGCACCCAGCCUUCCAUAAUCCCUCACUGUAUAUUGUAAUCUAUUUACUCUGCA